UACGUAGGGGGCAAGCGUUGUCCGGAAUCAUUGGGCGUAAAGCGCGUGUAGGCGGCUUUGCAAGUCGGGUGUGAAAGCCCUCAGCUCAACUGAGGAAGUGCGCCCGAAACUGCAGAGCUUGAGUGCCGGAGAGGGUGGCGGAAUUCCCCAAGUAGAGGUGAAAUUCGUAGAUAUGGGGAGGAACACCGGUGGCGAAGGCGGCCACCUGGACGGUAACUGACGCUGAGACGCGAAAGCGUGGGUAGCAAACAGG
rnacentral:rRNA from 1 species